AGGCAGCAUGGCCCUUGCUCUGCACCUCCUACUCCUGCUCCUCCUGGCCGUGGCCCUGCCUGCCAGGGCUGCCCAGGCUGCUCCGCUGCAAGCGCGGCGAGCAGACUGGAAUAGUGACAUGGGUUUUCAGGAAGUCCUGAUGAAGGAUGGUUUGAAGUUCUUUGAGGAUGCUGGAGCUGAACCUGCUGGUGAAGGCCCCACAUCCAGGACUGAGCCUCUGGGAGAUGCUGAGGGUAGGUCAAGGCCUUUCCCC